rnacentral:rRNA from 1 species
AACGAACGCUGGCGGCAUGCCUAACACAUGCAAGUCGAACGAGAUCUUCUGGUCCAGUGGCGCACGGGUGCGUAACGCGCGGGAACCUGCCCUUUGGCUUGGAAUAACAGGUGGAAACGACUGCUAAUAGCGGACGAUGACGAAAGUCCAAAGAUUUAUCGCCAGUGGAGGAGCCCGCGUAGGAUUAGCUAGUUGGUGUUGUAUAGGCGCACCAAGGUGACGCUACUUAGCUGGUCUGAGAGGCUGAUCAGCCACACUGGGACUGAGACACGGCCCAGACUCCUACGGGAGGAAGCAGUGGGGAAUAUUGGACAAUGGGCGAAAGCCUGAUCCAGCAAUGCCGCGUGAGUGAUGAAGGCCUUAGGGUUGUAAAGCUCUUUUACCCGGGAUGAUAAUGACAGUACCGGGAGAAUAAGCUCCGGCUAACUCCGUGCCAGCCGCCGCGGUAA